rnacentral:rRNA from 1 species
UACGGAGGGUGCGAGCGUUGUCCGGAAUCAUUGGGCGUAAAGGGCGCGUAGGUGGCCCCUCAAGCGGGCGGUGAAAGUCGGGGGCUCAACCCCCGAUCGGCCGUGCGAACUGGGGGGCUGGAGCACUGUAGAGGCAGGCGGAAUUCCGGGUGUAGCGGUGAAAUGCGCAGAUAUCAGGAGGAACACCAAUGGCGAAGGCAGCUCGCUGGGACGUGACUGACGCUGAGACGCGAAAGCGUGGGGAGCAAACAGG